AUUCCCGCCUGGCCUCACACAGUUACACCACCUUCCCUGGAACUCACUGGUCCUUCUUAGUUGGAAGGUCAGUGAAAUUACACUGUAAUUUCAAAGCAUCAGAACAAUGUUGACAUUUCCGUCAUGGCGAUUGUUUCACUCUGAGUUUUGAACCUUUUAGUUCCAAACAUAAUUUGCACAUGGGGGUAUGCAUAAAGAUGAAAUGAGUCUGAUUUAAUUGUAACAUGUAACUGUAAUGGUUAUCCACAAAUAAAACGCACGUAAGCUGGCACUGAUAGUGGCUAAAGGAUAGGAUCGGUAGUUAUAACUGACCCCUUUAGCCGUUCUGCCAUCAGAAGAGACCAGUUAGAAUUCCAAGUGGGGCAUAGACCUUGUUGACUUGAAUACAAUACUGAACCUAAAUUGCAUCAGUCAAUAUGCAUCAGGAGAAGUUACAAAGCUAUUCUAUUAGCAUUGUCCUCUGUUCAGGUAUGGAUGAAUAAAUAAUGUCUAUGAUACACAAUAAAGUUAAUAUAGGAAUAGUUUGCUUUGUAUUGUACAGUUUCAUAUAAGGAGCUGAAUGUUAACAGAGCUAACUUAUCAUCAUCAACACAAAGCUGUCAACUACAAUAUGCAUCUCAGUGUUCUUACCACUAUUGCAAAUGACCAGGAUUGUUAAUAUUUUAAGUUCAUUUAGGAAUUGCAGUGAUUUUUAUUUUUCACUCCAUGCCCUCAGAUGUGAACGCCUGUCUGACUGUUUAGUUGCCGGCCCGACUGGUUGUCUUCUUCCUUCUCCUGGCCAUCCCCCCGAUUAUUGGAACCAUCUUUUACAUAAGGAGGAGGAAACAUGCACAGACAGGUGACACAAUGAGGAGCAGGUGUUUCCACAAAUGGCAGACUACAGUAUUUGUGUA